rnacentral:rRNA from 1 species
UCGAGAAUCUUCCACAAUGGACGCAAGUCUGAUGGAGCGACGCCGCGUGAUUGAAGAAGGGCUUUGGUCUGUAAAGAUCUUUUAUGAGGGAAGAAAUUUUUGACGGUACCUCAUGAAUAAGGGGUUGCUAAACUCGUGCCAGCAGCAGCGGUAAUACGAGUACCCCGAGCGUUAUCCGGAAUUAUUGGGCGUAAAGGGUGUGUAGGUGGUUAUGUUAGUCUCCUGUCAAAAGUCCGGGCUCAACUCGGAACUCGCGGGAGAAACGGCAUAACUUGAGUAUGCGAGGGGUGUACGGAACUCAUAGUGUAGGGGUGAAAUCCGUUGAUAUUAUGGGGAACACCAAAAGCGAAGGCAGUACACUGGCGCAUCACUGACACUGAAACACGAAAGCGUAGGUAGC